CCCAGUGUAGAUGUCAAUCACAAUACAUAGGAGCAUCAAUAGGAGUGAGAUUUUUCGCAUUCAUAGGUUGGGGUGAUUAUUUCGCCCUAUCUUUGUACUUACUGCAGUUGUCACAUUGUCAUACUUAUUUUUCCCUAUUUUGUACUUACUGCAGGUGUCACAUUGUCAUACUUAUUUUUCCCCUAUCUGCCAUUGAUCUUUACCCCCAAUAUAUAUAUAUAUAUAUAUAUAUAAUUUAAAAAACAUAAUAAGAUUACUUAAUGAGAUCCUACCUCUCAUUGAUUUGAGCACAUCUUGUCGUGUUCUAUUCUUUUGUUUCUGUUCCAUGAUUCUUAUCUCUUUGAAGUCGCAAAUAAUUUGUUCCAUUUGUUUGUUUCCCAAGAACUGGAAUGACUUGGGGCUUUCA